rnacentral:rRNA from 1 species
ACCUUCGGGCCUCAUGCCAUCAGAUGUGCCCAGAUGGGAUUAGCUAGUAGGUGGGGUAAUGGCUCACCUAGGCGACGAUCCCUAGCUGGUCUGAGAGGAUGACCAGCCACACUGGAACUGAGACACGGUCCAGACUCCUACGGGAGGCAGCAGUGGGGAAUAUUGCACAAUGGGCGCAAGCCUGAUGCAGCCAUGCCGCGUGUAUGAAGAAGGCCUUCGGGUUGUAAAGUACUUUCAGCGAGGAGGAAGGCAUUAAGGUUAAUAACCUUAGUGAUUGACGUUACUCGCAGAAGAAGCACCGGCUAACUCCGUGCCAGCAGCCGCGGUAAUACGGAGGGUGCAAGCGUUAAUCGGAAUUACUGGGCGUAAAGCGCACGCAGGCGGUUUGUUAAGUCAGAUGUGAAAUCCCCGGGCUCAACCUGGGAACUGCAUUUGAAACUGGCAAGCUUGAGUCUUGUAGAGGGGGGUAGAAUUCCAGGUGUAGCGGUGAAAUGCGUAGAGAUCUGGAGGAAUACCGGUGGCGAAGGCGGCCCCCUGGA